rnacentral:rRNA from 1 species
ACGGCUCAGUAACACGUAGGAACAUACCCCAAACUGAGGGAUAAGCACCAGAAAUGGUGUCUAAUACCGCAUGUGCUCUAAGGAGUAAAGCUUCGGCGGUUUGGGAAUGGCCUGCGUAUGAUUAGAUUGUUGGUGAGGUAAUGGCUCACCAAGUCGACGAUCAUUAGCUGGUCUGAGAGGAUGACCAGCCAGACUGGAACUGAGAACGGUCCAGACUCCUACGGGAGGCAGCAGUAGGGAAUUUUCCACAAUGGACGAAAGUCUGAUGGAGCAACGCCGCGUGCAGGAUGAAGGCCUUAGGGUUGUAAACUGCUUUUAUCUGUGACGAAUAUGACGGUAGCAGAUGAAUAAGGAUCGGCUAACUCCGUGCCAGCAGCCGCGGUCAUACGGAGGAUCCAAGCGUUAUCCGGAAUUACUGGGCGUAAAGAGUUGCGUAGGUGGCAUUGUAAGUAGGUAGUGAAAGCGUUCGGCUCAACCGGAUAAACAUUACCUAAACUGCAAAGCUAGAGGAUGAGAGAGGUUAUUGGAAUUCCCUGUGUAGGAGUGAAAUCCGUAGAUAUAGGGAGGAACACCGAUGGCGUAGGCAGAUAACUGGCUCAUUCCUGACACUAAGGCACGAAAGCGUGGGUAGCAAACGGGAUUAGAUACCCCGGUAGUCCACGCCGUAAACGAUGGAUGCUAGCUGUAAGAGGUAUCGACCCCUCUUGUAGCGAAGCUAACGCGUUAAGCAUCCCGCCUGUGGAGUACGGUCGCAAGACUAAAACAUAAAGGAAUUGGCGGGGGAGCAC